GGGGUUGUAGCCUAGUGGUUAGGGCAUCGGACUCAGGACUUGAAGGUCGGGGGUUCGAUUCCCGAUACCA
rfam:Macrostomum lignano uti_cns_0009613, whole genome shotgun sequence.